GCUCCGGACGUUGCUUGGAUUGGAACAGGGUCAACAGCCGGAGCUCAGCUGCUGACAAAAGCCAAGCCCUCUUUCAGGUCAGUUAUCAUGUACAGUGUCCCUCAGUUGGAAUUUGUCUGAUGUUUCCUCGUGAUUAUAUUCAGGUUUGAAACCUGAGGUUCAGUGAGCCCUCGAGAGCUGGGCCUUGAACACAGCCCCUCUCCCACACAACAGAGGUAAGGGCACGAUAUACUUCUCUUUCUGCCAAGUGUGUUAAGGGGGCCUGCCCGCUAGCAUCAUAGCUGACCUGGUAGUUUGCUGGUGUUUUUAGAUGUGAGAGGCCCAAGGGCUGCAGAGAAGAGCCUUGGACCCUGAACCUAGUGAGAAUGUGGCCCAGGAUCUCAGGAAGGUCGUCUCUCAACCUUCUUAUUUGUAAAAAUAGUAGGAAAUCAUCCAUCCUGUGGUUAUGUAAAAGAAUAUCUUUAUUCUUAAGAAGCUUAUAUAUAUAUGCCUCACCUCUGCAAAUUCUGAAUUAUUUUUACAAGGACAAUUUUAUAGUCUUUUUUAACUGAACAUCCGUUUUAUACCCUGUUGUACAUCUGGUACACAUUCCUUGUAAGUGUAAUUUUAAUGACUUCCAGCAUUCCACUUUGUGUCAUAAUUUCUAUUCUCCUGUUGAUGGACACUCAAAAGGAAGAAGGGGAUUGAUAUUAACUCAGCAUGAACUUGGUACCAGGUGCUAUCCACCACAGGCUUAGCAUUAUCUUAUUUAACCCUCACGAUCCUACUAAGAUAAAUAUUUUUACCCAUGAUGUGUGGAUGAGGAGCUUAUACUAAGCCAACCUCAUUCAACUAGGGAAGAUCCAGGAUACAAUUCCAGGCUCUGACUCCUCAGCCCACGCUGUGUCUCUGCUCGUGCUGUCCCUCAGUUUUCUUCAUACCUAAAAGCUUUCUUUUUAUCCUCCUCUAACUUCGCAGCUUUUUUUUUUUUUCACAGCUCUUUUUCUGUACUGCAGUUUCUGUUAUAUUGUUAUUAAUUCCAUGUCUCAACUCUGAGGUUGGACUAUGGACUCUUUAAGGAUAGGUUAACAGCAUGUUCAUCUCUGGAAGAGACUCACCUCAACAAGCUUAGCCCAGUGCCUUGCAUAUAGCAGAAGCUCCCAUCACUUAUUCUUUCAACAAAUCCUGUAUCUAUGGAGGGCCUAGUAUGCCCCAGGCAGUGUUCUAGAUUCUUGGGACAUGUCAGCAAUUCAGUAUACAGCGAAGCUUACAUUCUGGGGGAGGGCGAUGUAUGAUAAAGAAUGUAAGGGAGUUCCCGUUGUGGCGCAGUGGUUAACGAAUCCGACUAGGAACCAUGAGGUUGCGGGUUCG
rnacentral:lncRNA from 1 species